UAGUCCACGCCGUAAACGAUGGUCACUAGUUGUUUGAACUUCGGUUUGAGUGACUAAGCGAAAGUGAUAAGUGACCCACCUGGGGAGUACGUUCGCAAGAAUGAAACUCAAAGGAAUUGACGGGGGCCCGCACAAGCGGUGGAGCAUGUGGUUUAAUUCGAUGAUACGCGAGGAACCUUACCAGGGCUUAAAUGUAUAUUGACAGGUUUAGAGAUAGACUUUCCUUCGGGCAAUUUACAAGGUGCUGCAUGGUUGUCGUCAGCUCGUGCCGUGAGGUGUCAGGUUAAGUCCUAUAACGAGCGCAACCCCUGUUGUUAGUUGCCAGCGAGUAAUGUCGGGAACUCUAACAAGACUGCCGGUGCAAACCGUGAGGAAGGUGGGGAUGACGUCAAAUCAUCACGGCCCUUACGUUCUGGGCCACACACGUGCUACAAUGGUAGGGACAGAGAGCAGCCACUACGCGAGUAGGAGCGAAUCUAUAAACCCUAUCUCAGUUCGGAUCGGAGUCUGCAACUCGA
rnacentral:rRNA from 1 species